rnacentral:misc_RNA from 1 species
AAUUCGCACAAGCAACAAGAAGCACCACCAAAAAUGGCAGCCAUGAACUCCAAUGUGCUAGCUUGCAACUAUGCCGUCUCUGGUGUUGGACCAUCAUCAGAACUCUGCUCAAAACUUUCUCCAAUUCCAUCACUCGCAUCGCCUGUUGCUCACAAGUUGCCUGUGAUCAGGAGCCAACAAACAUCAACUAGAUUUCCUGAUUCUAACAAGAUUAUUGGGAAUGAUGGACGGAG